AGGCCGGUAGCUCAGCCUGGUAGAGCACUCGACUUUUAAUCGAGUGGUCGCGGGUUCGAAUCAAUACACAAAAAGGUGUCUUGCGUGAUUCCCGUCCGGCCUA
rnacentral:tRNA from 1 species